UCAAUAUGGACGCCGGCGACGUC
rnacentral:siRNA from 1 species